rnacentral:rRNA from 1 species
GACAGAGGGUGCGAACGUUGUUCGGAAUUACUGGGCGUAAAGCGCGUGUAGGCGGUCGUGCAAGUCGGGUGUGAAAGCCCUGGGCUCAACCCAGGAAGUGCAUUCGAUACUGCUCGACUGGAGUCCCGGAGAGGAUGGUGGAACUCUCGGUGUAGAGGUGAAAUUCGUAGAUAUCGAGAGGAACACCGGUGGCGAAGGCGGCGACCCGGGUCGAGACUGACGCUGAGGCGCGAAAGCGUGGGGAGCAAACAGG